rnacentral:misc_RNA from 1 species
GACCUUACACCUUUAUUUAUCGAUUGAAAUAGGAAUUAGAUUCCAAUGAACACAGAACAAUAGAUGAUAAUUCUUUACUACACAAAUAGCUUAAAAUUUUUUACCACAUACAAGUUUCUCAUAGCACAACUGCAAACAUUAUAAGCCCACAAAUUGAAUCGUCCAAUAGCAGUUUAAAGGUUGAUCCAUUCCGUGGAAAUUCAUACAUUCAAAUCCAUGAUGUUCAUAUCAGUUUGCCAAAUCACCAUCUUAAAUGCAGAACCCAAAUUUCCCAUCGUUCCCAAACCGGACACAAUAUGUAUUACUGUUAUAAAUCGGAAUUUCAGCCACAAAGAGCAAGUGAAUCCAUUUGGGAAAUGACCAUUACAAUCAUAAACAUAUAUAUGGAAUUCGUAUCAUUACCUAACUAGAACCGACAAUGAUGUUGUUG